AGGAUAAAAGUGUAGAGACAAAGAGAUAGCAAGAGAAUCAUCAUCUUAUUCAUUGAUAGGUGCCCUUUAUAUAGGGAAUUACACAAUACCAAUAUGGUAAGGAUAUGAAUACAUAGAUCUAGUCUAACUACAUAUCCUAUUGGCAUAAGACCAAGGCACACAUAGAGAAUAUCCUAGAACACUCCCCCUUGUGCCGCGCGCUGAUAUGCCGAUGGUGCUGAUCUGUUGCCUCGUCAAAAACCUCAUCAAGUCACAAAAACCCUGUGGGAGAAAAACUGAACCUUGAUCGUAGGAGAAAAAGAGUACAACGCACCCUUCACAUUUGAUAAUGACAUGUAUGUAUGUGCUAGACUCCCCCUGAAGUUCGCACCCCCCCUGAUCUUUACAUCAAUCAUAGGGCUCUUCCUGAUUCUUACUAAUCACGGAAGUUUCAACAACUUAGCAUGUCAAUGCUUUUUAACAUGUCUUCAAAUGUGGCAUUGGACAAUGAUUAACUAAAUCAUGCCGUAUUGUCCUCAAAUGAUCUUUUACACUUAGAUCUUGAGGAGAAGGUCGCUUGUGAACUCAAAACAUAAGUUCGUGCAGGAAAUCAGAUUUCCGCGCAGCAUGACCUUUAAUUACUAGAACAGUCGUAACUUCCUCUAGGAAAUACAUAUGAACGAACCGUAAACGGUUUUGGAAACUAGACUCAUAGAGCUUUCCAACCGUAUAUUACACACAUUUUGGUUCAUCAGGAGCUGUUCACAAAGUCCCGUCGAAGUUGACUGUUUUCCCAAAAUCAGAUUCUCGGACAGAUUCGUCCUACUUUACGAAAACGGCCAUAACUCACUCAAUAUGAUAGGUAUGAUCAAAUGGUUGGUGUCUCUGGAAAGUAGACACAUAGACCUUUCCAAUGGUACCAAUUUUACCAUAUUCCAGUGAGUGAGGUUUCCUGUAAGUCCCGUGGAGCUUGACCUACGAAACUUGGCAGAUUCUGAUUUCGUUAUUGAUGUGUCUUUCUUAUGUAGGGAUAGAAUAAGCCUCAACCUUUCAUACCAUUAAGUAUUGAAAAAGGAGUUACUGCCAUUACAUUGGCGUUGUGUGGGCGCAUAGCUACACUUAGCUUUACAACUUUUCAUAGCGAAUGAGAUGUCAAGUCUUUCUUAUUGUGUUGAGUACAUUGAUGCGUCUAAUUGUACUUAGAUGGAAACUCCAUCUCUUAACACAUAUUUG
rnacentral:lncRNA from 1 species